GGUGGCUCAGUAGUAGAGCGCUUGCCUUAAAAUGCAUGAAGCCCUGGGUUCAAUUCCUCAGCACCA
rnacentral:tRNA from 1 species